CCAAACAUAAAAAGUUUUUUCAGAGGAACAUUAAACAAACCUUCAAAAGGAGGUUUCAACCAGUUUUAACCAACAUGGUUUUCUCCCCUUUUCUCUUCCAGAUUUGGUUGCCAAUGAGCAACUCAGAUACCCAUGGUUAUUAUGCUCAUUUUUACUGUAACGACAGGCUUGUCUCCAAACUUUUAUUUGUAUAUGGCAUCCCAGUUUUUAGUAGGGAUCGCAUAUGGUAGAUGAUACUAGGUAAAAUCCUUUCCAUUCCAAACAAACCUACGUUCUAAAGGAAUAAACAUGAGAUAACAGAACUCAGUCAAUGAUUUGUCAGUCAGCCGGUCAUAUUAAGUUGUUUACCAUUACUACAUGUUCCUUCCACACAGCAACUGAAUGGGUCGGAGUGACAAAACGUUCUUAUGCGUCUUGUUUGAGUCAGACGUUCGGUGGAGUUGGCCAGUGCAUCCUUGCUGGCAUGAUCUUCUUCAUCCGAGACUGGAGACUUGCCCAGUUUGGAAGAGCGUCGUUAGGG